rnacentral:tRNA from 1 species
GGGCGAUUGGUCUACUGGAUAUGACACAUCCCUGCGAAGGAUGAGAAGGGAGUUCGAUUCUCUCAUUGCCCA